rnacentral:rRNA from 1 species
UCGCGUUUUCGGAGCGGCCGAUAUCGGAUUAGCUAGUAGGUGAGGUAAAGGCUCACCUAGGCGACGAUCCGUAGCUGGUCUGAGAGGACGACCAGCCACACUGGAACUGAGACACGGUCCAGACUCCCACGGGAGGCAGCAGUGGGGAAUUUUGGACAAUGGGCGAAAGCCUGAUCCAGCCAUGCCGCGUGAGUGAAGAAGGCCUUCGGGUUGUAAAGCUCUUUCAGCCGGAAAGAAAACGCAUGGGUUAAUAACCUGUGUGGAUGACGGUACCGGAAGAAGAAGCACCGGCUAACUACGUGCCAGCAGCCGCGGUAAUACGUAGGGUGCGAGCGUUAAUCGGAAUUACUGGGCGUAAAGCGUGCGCAGGCGGUUUUGUAAGACAGAUGUGAAAUCCCCGGGCUUAACCUGGGAACUGCAUUUGUGACUGCAAGGCUAGAGUACGGCAGAGGGGGGUAGAAUUCCACGUGUAGCAGUGAAAUGCGUAGAUAUGUGGAGGAAUACCGAUGGCGAAGGCAGCCCCCUGGGUCGAUACUGACGCUCAUGCACGAAAGCGUGGGGAGCAAACAGGAUUAGAUACCCUGGUAGUCCACGCCCUAAACGAUGUCAACUAGGUGUUGGGGGAGGAGACUUCCUUAG